rnacentral:rRNA from 1 species
UGGGGAAUUUUGGACAAUGGGCGCAAGCCUGAUCCAGCAAUGCCGCGUGAGUGAAGAAGGCCUUCGGGUUGUAAAGCUCUUUUGUCAGGGAAGAAACGGUAGAGGCUAAUAUCCUUUGCUAAUGACGGUACCUGAAGAAUAAGCACCGGCUAACUACGUGCCAGCAGCCGCGGUAAUACGUAGGGUGCAAGCGUUAAUCGGAAUUACUGGGCGUAAAGCGUGCGCAGGCGGUUUUGUAAGUCUGUCGUGAAAGCCCCGGGCUCAACCUGGGAAUUGCGAUGGAGACUGCAAGGCUUGAAUCUGGCAGAGGGGGGUAGAAUUCCACGUGUAGCAGUGAAAUGCGUAGAGAUGUGGAGGAACACCGAUGGCGAAGGCAGCCCCCUGGGUCAAGAUUGACGCUCAUGCACGAAAGCGUGGGGAGCAAACAGGAUUAGAUACCCUGGUA